rnacentral:tRNA from 1 species
GUCUAAUUAGUUCAGUGGUAGAACACUCGCUUGUGGUGCGGGUUACACGAGUUCGAUUCUCGUAUUGGGCCCCU